ACGGGGUGCAGCAGGCGCGAAAACUUUGCAAUGUGCGAAAGCACGACAAGGUUAAUCCGAGUGGUUUCUGCUAAAGGAACCUUUUGACAGUCCUAGAAACACUGUUGAAUAAGGGGUGGGCAAGUUCUGGUGUCAGCCGCCGCGGUAAAACCAGCACCUCAAGUGGUCAGGAUGAUUAUUGGGCCUAAAGCAUCCGUAGCCUGCUCAGUAAGUUUUCGGUUAAAUCUGUACGCUCAACGUACAGGCUGCCGGGAAUACUGCAGAGCUAGGGAGUGGGAGAGGUAGACGGUACUCGGGAGGAAGUGGUAAAAUGCUUUGAUCUUUCGAUGACCACCUGUGGCGAAGGCGGUCUACCAGAACACGUCCGACGGUGAGGGAUGAAAGCUGGGGGAGCAAACCGGAUUAGAUACCCGGGUAGUCCCAGCUGUAAACUAUGCAAACUCAGUGAUGCAUUGGCUUGUGGCCAAUGCAGUGUUGCAGGGAAGCCGUUAAGUUUGCCGCCUGGAAGUACGUACGCAAGUA
rnacentral:rRNA from 1 species